rnacentral:lncRNA from 1 species
GUAUCGAAAUUGAGAAAGAAGUAACAGUCUCUUACAGAAGGGAAACUGAUUAGAUUUUUGAUUUUUAUCUCUUUUGAAGAAAGCAAAGCAGAUAAGCAUAUAUUCUAACACACCCUACUUAUGAUUAUGACUGAAGAUGGCCAACCAUUUUAAAUCAAACCCAUAGCAAAGAAGCAUCUCACUUUAGCUUAUGUUUUGGUGACAUUCUCUUUGUAGCUCAACUUUUUUUCCUUUCUUUUCUAAAGAAUUUAUAGCAGCCAACCAGUCUUAUCAACAACUUUGAUUGCUCCUGCCUACCAAAUAUGUUCCAAACUUGCAAUUCAUUCAUUCUUCAUAUUCAAAAUUCCCUCACAAUCUUCUUACUGCUAUUUUUCUUAUUUCCCUACUUCUAUCACAACUUUUUAUUACUCAAUUUGGCAAGAUCAUAGGUUCAUCACUGCUCAUGUUCCAGGCUGUUUAAUAUCUUGUCAAGUAAUAUAAAGCAAAUAACUUAAAAAACCAAAAAUCAAACUAUUCAAAGAUGGGGGAUGGAUGCUAUCUGUAACAAUUACAGCUCGUUUUUUGCUUUUACCUUCUUUAAGUUGCUUUGCCAUUCUUCUUUUGGUGUCUUUUGUGGUUUUGUGGUGGCCUUAUUCAGUGAGUACUCAUUGGUCCGUGAUCGUCAUGCUGAGCCUUAUGGGGCACACUUUGGUUCACAACAAUUUUACAAAGAGACUACACCUUUAAGACCAGUCUUCAGAAUCCAGGAAAGCCUAAACGUGUAACAUUUUCAUCUUUGUUGUGCUGCAUACUGUAAAAAUGUUAAUCAUAGGAACUGGUUCCAACCAAAAUGUUUAGAUAGAUAGUGCCACACAUUUUAUAACGGCAAAUAGGUGUAUCAAGAAGUUGCACUUGGCAUUGUACAUACCGUACCACAUAUCCUUUGUAUUAAUAGGACCCCACUAUGCAUUUUAUUUAUUUAUUUCCCAUUUUGGCAAAAGAAUCUUAACAAAUUAAACAAUUUUGUACACUGAAAUGCUAGAUGACACGAAGAAAAUAGAGAGAAGAAGGAAAGUAUAAAUUUAACAGGUGAUGUCAAAGUAAUUGAUUAAGAGAACUUGUAAGUGUUAAUGGUGUAUUCAAAGUAAUUGAUCAUUAUAGUUCUCAAAUGUUAUUGUCUAAAGAGGAAUGACAUGAAAUGAUCAAUUACUUUUUUUUUUACUCUUUAGACAGUAACACUUGAGAAUAUGAUAUUACACUGAUAUCCGUAAAACAUGUACAUUGACGUACGUGUAAAGAAUUUUGGCAUUUGGCAUCCUCUAGGGAUCAACGAAGGUGGUGAUGUUAUUGCGGCAAGAUCAAUAAACAAGACUUUUUUGGGACACAACAAGAGUGCAAUUACUUUCAUAAUCUUUCUAAUGAAAUAGUUUACCCGCCAAAGAAAAGUGAGUCGUUUGGUUUGGACCCCUUAGAAACUAACCAUGUAAGGAUCCCAAAGUUACCACACAAACAAUCUAAAAUACUAUCUUUUAUUUGAAGAUAAAGUGCUUGUGCUUCUCUCGAUUUGAUGGUCAUGUACCACGGAAAGAUAACCUUGUCUAACACAGACCAUUCUCCCCAAGAUUAGCAUGUAACAACAUGUUAGGCCUUUGGCAUAUCAAUGUAAUAAAUAAUCAGAAGAGAAUAAAAAGCAUAUUCUCCUAAGGAGAUGUGAUUUGAAACGAGGUGACACUCUCAAAAGGCAGUUUCAAACCAUAGGAAGAAAAAUGAAAAAUAGAAAGCAGCGAGUCAUUUUAACUCUCACUUUAAUAGUAAGAAAAGAAAAGAAAAUCUAGAAAAGAGGAGAUAAAUUUCAAUCCGCUGGUUGUUUCACUUGGACCAUGACCAGUCACCCUUCUUCAGAUUUAAGAAUAAACCAAGGAAUUUAUGCUUUCGACAGUUCCUAGUUGCAUGUGGUAUUUUAUGUUAAAUAAAGUAAAAUAAGAGAAAGGGAGAGAGUGAGAGAGGGAGGGCAAGAAAUUUUGAAGGGACAAAUAGUUUGGGAAUCCAUCUAAUCUAAAAGUAGAACAAAGCAUAAAGGUAACAUUCAGCCCAAGAAAUAUAGUAGUGUUGUUUUUGUUACCUUGGGAAGUGAGCUUGGAAUUCUAAAGUUACUUGGAGAUCUUAGAGAAGUUAGAAAAGUACAUAAAGCAAGAGUUUGUUUCUUUUGGGGACUGUUCUAUUCCCCUAUCUAUUCUUUACAUAACCUGCAUGCACUGUUGCAAUCUCCUGCUUCAGCCUGGCCCAUUGUCACUGUUUUGGUCUUGCUAAUUAAAGGAAAUAAUAUUUAACAUGGCCCUUUCUUAAUAACAAAGGAAUUGUAAUUUACCAUUAACCCCAUAUAAGACCAGAGUUUUAUAUGCUGAAAACCUGCACCUUUUUGCAAAUUUAUAAUGCAGCUUGUUAUGAGAUAACAUGCAUUAAGCUGACAUAAUUAGAUAUUAAGAUUCAACAUAUAAAAUUAAUAUAAUAUAAACACGAAACAGAAAUCCUAAAUCAGAACAAAGGCAUUAACAUAAGUGGGUUUUUGUUGUUAUAAUAAAAUACUAUCAUCCAAUCAUUGAGGUACUUCACUUGUAUUGGUACACAAAUUUAAAAGAUAUUUGCAACAUAUAGGCAAAAAGUAUGCAAAAGAAUUCAAUAGAUACAUACAGAAUGAUAAAUAUUUUGAAUUAUCCAAGUACGCCAAUACCAAGCUUAACACUGGAGAAUGUAAGACCUAUUUAUCCAUACACAAGUAUAGCAGUAUGAUGUGGCAAGUUGGACAGAGUCCUGGCAACGGUGUAUGGCUUCUUUUGGAGAAAAAAGCAGGCAUAUGAUAGACAUGUAGGGAAAGAAAUGAAAAAAGAAAUAUACUUGGCCUCUCAAGGACAUUGUCCCAACUCCCUUUAUUCAUCCUUGUCAGAUUCUUCAAUAACAGCCUUAAUUAGCUAAGAUUUCAGGCUUGUGAUUCGAGAUGAAUCUAAAAUUCCUGUAGGCCAUCUCUGCUUUAAGCUUUAAAGUCCCCUCCAAAUCUAGUAUGACAUAUAUAACAAGGUUAUGUCUACAGGAAUGGACCAUAAGAACACAGAUUAGGGGAGAGCUGCUUAUUCUCCUGUCACUCUAAACAGAAAGAGCACACCAUCUAUCUAUUCUUCUUGUUUCAGAGUGAAGAGAAUAUGGUGUUUCAUCCUUCUAGAAAAAUCAUUCUUCUUCUCUUUGUGGGUUUCUUAAUAUCAAUUCAACCAGAGAAUGUGUUAGGCCUGAGAAGUUCAGAAAUUGCACUAAGACACAGCCAAAAAGACCAAAGGAUAUUGUUGCAGAAUCAACACGCUACGAAGACUACAGAGGAAUUAUUGAACACAGAGAAGAAUUCAGCAAAUGGCAACAAACGGCUUGGUCCCACAGAGAAGAUUUCAGCCAAUUUCAACCAUGAGUUUGAUCCAAGUCAGUCCAGCAAAAGAAGAGUGCCAAGGGGAUCAGAUCCUAUCCACAACAGGACUUAAGAAAUUCAUCUUGUUCCUUUGACUACGAAAGAAAGCAACACUAAGCUGACAUCUAAGAGAGCAACAACACUUGGAAGCUUGAAAACGAAGAGCAGGUUAGAAAUAUGGUCGAACUGUACCUACAUUCUGAAAAUAUCUUCACAACAGUUGUUUGGUUUUCCCCUUCUUUUCAAUCUAGUUUUUAAGAGUUUUGUCAAAGAGAGGCAUGUAUUUUGUACAGUCAAGCUACUGCAUAAUUUUUAUAGAUAGCAAUUCAGUGAAGCAGCAUCAUCCAAAACGUUAGUAUAGAUGAUAAUCCGAGCUCCUCCAAUCCAACAGAAAAAUGUUUUCUUUUAGUUUCGUCCAGUGAAAUGAAAUACCCAUAUGCACUAGUAUUACAGUUUCAGCAAGAUUACAGUGAAAUUCUUUUGUAAUGCUGUCGUGUUUUAGAAGUAUUUCAAGUCUAAUGAUCUUUCUCAUCUUCAUUUUUUCGAUCCAACAGACAACAAGUCUUGUUCCUUAACCAACAAAAGUAAAGUUUAUGAGCCAUAUUAUACAUAACAGAGCUCUGGACACCUGUAUUGUCUCAUCAUGUCAUGUAGAGAAGUACUGGAUGGAAAUUUGUCCCACAGUCUUUCUUUUAUUUUGCCUGUUUCUUGCGAUUGUGGAGUGCAUGUGUUUGCUGAACAAGAAAAAUGGUUUGCUAAGAAAAAUUGAAAGAAGAAUACCGGUAAUAUUAUCAAACAAAAAUAAGUCAUUCAUAUAAAAAGAUGAUAAAUUCGUUCGUACGCCAGAGGACAAGUAGCUUGCCAAAAGCAAGGUGUUGUUACUUAUUAAGUGUCAACCCAUCAAGGCAUCAUUUUUUUUUUCAAAAUAUGAUGAAUAGUUUCAGUUUCGUAAUACUUCAUUUGCUUUAAAAUCAAAAUGGAAUACUAAAAUAUCAUCCAACAUGAAGUCAUUCCUCUUGUUGAUCAUCAAAGUCACUACAAAACCUCUAAUAGUAGCAUACGCAACAUGCAAACUUAAGAAAGUGAUGCUUCAACAUUCACCGAGUGUACAAUGUGGGGAAGAGUGAGAACCAAGAAUUGAAAGUUAAUAUCCUUUUCAUAAUUAACAUACACUAAGAUUCUUGAUGAAUGUUCCUGAGAUGUGACAGAUUGUAAUGACUAAUGCGGAUGUGAACAGUAUUGGUGUCAAAAGCAUAACAUUGGGAUUGAAGUAUGGUCAGCCUAUAUCAGAUAACGGUUAGGAAGCAUGAUUGAACUAAAAGUUCUAUGUGAGUGAGUACUAUUUUUCACCUAUUCAGGCUAAAGCAGAAUCUACUUAUAUAUUGUAUUUCUUCCAAAUCUUUCUGGUUCCUUAGCCCCAAUCCGUAUAGAGGCUAGACUGAAGAACUAUCCAAUACUGUAUGAUCCAAAGCAGCAAAAUACAACUGAUACGUAUUUGCUUGUACACAGAUUUCUCGGGUUGCACCCAUGCAUCAUGAUAUUUUCUUCAUCCCAGUUGUUCAUUGGUUCCUGUAACUGUAUAAAUACAGUUAAAAGGUUGAUGGGUAGAAUAAUAAUCUUAUUGAAAUAGUUGUUGGAACCACAAGCAGAGUGGCAACAUCCGAUUUUAACAAGGAAAUUGUUCUUAGUAAAUUCAGACAGAGGAGCGUGUUCACUGUGCAGCUGUUUUUGAUUGUGAUGGUAAAAUUUAAGCUCUGGCUAGAGAAAUUAGAAUCUAGAUAGCCUUUUUAACGAGCGACUUGCAUGUGUAAUGCCAUUACUUCAUAUCUCCAAUUUGCAACAGUUAUAAAAAUCGCCAUUAUUCAAAAGUAGCAACAUAUAGUUCCCAUAAUUGCAUAUAAUACCCCAUCAACAACCCUUUAUUUCUUGCAAUCUCUAAGUGAAGUAAAUUUGGGAAUAUUGAAUUUCUAAUUUUCCCAAACCUUCAUUUCUAACAAUAUCUGUAAGUGAAGUGAAUUUAUUUCCUCUUUCUCUUGAUGGAGUCCUCACAUUUGCAGCGUGAGGAAGAUGUGCAGGAACCAAGUUUUGUAAAUAUAAUAAUCGAAUCAAAGCAUCCCAAUAUCAUAGAUUUUGAAAAAGUCGAAAUAGAAUAAAACAAUUUUACAGAGAAGAUUCAGCAGAGGAUAAUGGAGGUAAAACAAAUUUUACACUGAAAACAAAUAAAAAAAUGGAAGUAAUACCAAGAUGCAGAUAGCAACUUCAGAGUUUAUCUUCCAUACAUUCAUUCCAUCAUCCAUCACCAGCUCGAAAAGUUCUAUGUUUCCAGCUAAGGAAUCUCGAACCAGAAGAUAACUAAAACGUCGCCGUUAGUUCCGUGAAAAUCAAUGGGCCAAUAUUAGUGUCAACCCAUUAAAGGAAUUGGGCUUGCUUUAUUGAUAUUGAACUACUCCAAGCCCCGUAGGAGAUUGUAAUGAAAAUGUCGAGGAUGCUUCUUAUUAUACCCUAUAGAUAGGUUCUUCUGGUAUCC